ensembl:lncRNA
AUACAUUUAACUGCGAUAAGUAUUCACACAUUUAGAGAUGAAGUAAACUCACCUUGGUUCAGUUUCUAUUACUAAUACAUGUAGGUACACACCUCCAAAUCAGUCACAUUUGAUUUGAGCCGUGCCUUUCCCAGUGCCAAGUCACAAAGGCCAAUUAGAUAGCUCCUGCUAGGGAGAACAAUGGAUGGCAACAUUGAAGUGAGAGGUGAUUCGAGAGGCAGAGGAGUGAGAGGAAGAGGAGGAGGAGGAAAAGGAGACCGAGGAAGAGCAAGAAGGAGAGUCAUUAUCUCUGAUGAGAAAACCAUGGUUUGACCAUGCAGGAGGCUGGCCAGAGGGUUCAACCAAACAUAAGCCGCUUCUCAAAGAGCAAAUAGGUAAGAAACACUAGUAUGACAGGAAAA